CCUACGGGAGUCAGCAGUGGGGAAUAUUGCACAAUGGGGGAAACCCUGAUGCAGCGACGCCGCGUGAGCGAAGAAGUAUUUCGGUAUGUAAAGCUCUAUCAGCAGGGAAGAAAAUGACGGUACCUGAGUAAGAAGCCCCGGCUAAAUACGUGCCAGCAGCCGCGGUAAUACGUAGGGAGCAAGCGUUAUCCGGAUUUACUGGGUGUAAAGGGAGCGCAGGCGGCCUUGCAAGUCUGAUGUGAAAUACCGGGGCUAAACCCCGGAGCUGCAUUGGAAACGGUGAGGCUGGAGUGUCGGAGGGGCAGGCGGAAUUCCUAGUGUAGCGGUGAAAUGCGUAGAUAUUAGGAGGAACACCAGAGGCGAAGGCGGCCUGCUGACGAUGACUGACGCUGAGGCUCGAAAGCGUGGGGAGCAAACAGGAUUAGAUACCCUUGUAGUC
rnacentral:rRNA from 1 species